rnacentral:rRNA from 1 species
GAUGAACGCUGGCGGCGUGCCUAAUACAUGCAAGUCGAGCGAACGGACGAGAAGCUUGCUUCUCUGAUGUUAGCGGCGGACGGGUGAGUAACACGUGGAUAACCUACCUAUAAGACUGGGAUAACUUCGGGAAACCGGAGCUAAUACCGGAUGAUAUUUUGAACCGCAUGGUUCAAAAGUGAAAGACGGUCUUGCUGUCACUUAUAGAUGGAUCCGCGCUGCAUUAGCUAGUUGGUAAGGUAACGGCUUACCAAGGCAACGAUGCAUAGCCGACCUGAGAGGGUGAUAGGCCACACUGGAACUGAGACACGGUCCAGACUCCUACGGGAGGCAGCAGUAGGGAAUCUUCCGCAGUGGGCGAAAGCCUGACGGAGCAACGCCGCGUGAGUGAUGAAGGUCUUCGGAUCGUAAAACUCUGUUAUUAGGGAAGAACAUAUGUGUAAGUAACUGUGCACAUCUUGACGGUACCUAAUCAGAAAGCCACGGCUAACUACGUG